rnacentral:rRNA from 1 species
UCGAGGAUCUUCGGCAAUGGGCGCAAGCCUGACCGAGCGACGCCGCGUGUGCGAUGAAGGCCUUCGGGUUGUAAAGCACUGUCGAGGGGGAUAAAAACCCGCAAGGGUUUGAUAGAUCCCUGGAGGAAGCACGGGCUAAGUUCGUGCCAGCAGCCGCGGUAAGACGAACCGUGCGAACGUUGUUCGGAAUCACUGGGCUUAAAGGGCGCGUAGGCGGCUUGCCAAGUCAGGGGUGAAAUCCUGCAGCUUAACUGGAGAAGUGCCUUUGAUACUGGCGAGCUCGAGGGAGAUAGGGGUGCGUGGAACUUCUGGUGGAGCGGUGAAAUGCGUUGAUAUCAGAAGGAACGCCGGUGGCGAAAGCGACGCACUGGAUCUCUACUGACGCUGAGGCGCGAAAGCUAGGGGAGCAAACGG